GUUAUACCAACUGUUAUACCAGGAAAUUCCAGCUGAAGGGUAUCUAUCAUUGUAUCUACUACAUGUUAUACCAUGAAACUUUGUUGAUAUCAACAGUAGAUACCACUGCCAACUCAUUGAAUUGCAGGUUCAUAUUUGUUUCAGAUUUAAUUUCUUAGUUUUAGUUGCUGAGCUGAUGUAAAUUUACCUCCCUUGUCUAAAGUCUCCGUUCUCAAUAGUCAGUGUGUGUGUGUGUGUGUGUCUGCAUCUACGUCUACAUGUGCAUGUGCAUGCGAGUGAGUGCUCACGACCCUGACCUUGCCCCAUCCAAGGCCUGGAUUGACAACUCCACCCUUGAAAAGCUCAAUGACCUCCAGGAUGAACACUUCAUGAAUACAGGUGCCUGAUUUGUCAUCCCUUCUGUUAGGGAUUUCUAUUCUGUUUGUUUGUUUGUUUCAGUGCUAUUUUCAUCUCUUCUUCUUGUCAAGGAUUAUUUAGGUGGCUGUUGCAUUGGAAGUUCAUGAAGCGGAUGUUGAUGGAGAUACAGGAGGUCGCUAGGGUUGUCCAUUCCUGAUAGGUGGUCUCCACUGUGGAUCUGAUUUAGUCUGGGAGGUAUCUCAGGCAGUGGCCUAUAACCGGACCAUUGUACUACUCUACAAGAGCAGGUAUUCUCCUAGUUCAAAGUCUUGUUUUAUGUGGUUCGAUAUCUUUUGUUGCUUUCUUGGUGAUUUCACACACAUUUUUUUGGCAGAAGUUAAAUCUUUCUAGGAUAUAUCAAAUUGGUUUCAUCUCCAGUCAUUU
rnacentral:lncRNA from 1 species